GACGAACGCUGGCGGCGUGCCUAAUACAUGCAAGUUGAGCGCUGAAGGUUGGUACUUGUACCAACUGGAUGAGCAGCGAACGGGUGAGUAACGCGUGGGGAAUCUGCCUUUGAGCGGGGGACAACAUUUGGAAACGAAUGCUAAUACCGCAUAAAAACUUUAAACACAAGUUUUAAGUUUGAAAGAUGCAAUUGCAUCACUCAAAGAUGAUCCCGCGUUGUAUUAGCUAGUUGGUGAGGUAAAGGCUCACCAAGGCGAUGAUACAUAGCCGACCUGAGAGGGUGCGCUGCCACAUUGGGACUGAGACACGGCCCAAACUCCUACGGGAGGCAGCAGUAGGGGAUCUUCGGCAAAGGACGAAAGUCUGAACGAGCAACGACGCGGGAGGGAAGAAGGUUUUCGGGUCGUAAAACUCUGUUGGUAGAGAAGAACGUUGGUGAGAGUGGAAAGCUCAUAAAGUGACGGUAACUACACAGAAAGGGACGGCUAACUACGUG
rnacentral:rRNA from 1 species